rnacentral:RNase_P_RNA from 1 species
GGAGUUCGCCAGGCAGUCGCCGCGCGCAAUCGUGCGGAGGAAAGUCCGGGCCCCAUAGAGCAGGAUGCCGGCUAACGGCCGGGCGCCGUGAGGCGACGGAAAGUGCAGCAGAAAACAAACCGCCGAUGGCCCGUGUAAUACGGGAUCAGGCAAGGGUGAAAUGGUGGGGUAAAAGCCCACCGCAGGACUGGUAACAGUCCCGGCACGGCAAACCCCAUCCGGGGCAAGGCCAAAUAGGGAAGCCAUGGCGUGGCUCGCGCCGCUUCCGGGUAGGCUGCUGGAGCGCCACGGCAACGCGGCGCCAAGAUGAAUGACUGCCCAACACCCUCCGGGGUGUUCGACAGAACCCGGCUUAUCGGCGGACUUCCUCU